AUUGAACGCUGGCGGCAGGCCUAACACAUGCAAGUCGAGCGGCAGCGGGAAAGUAGCUUGCUACUUUUGCCGGCGAGCGGCGGACGGGUGAGUAAUGCCUGGGGAUCUGCCCAGUCGAGGGGGAUAACUACUGGAAACGGUAGCUAAUACCGCAUACGCCCUACGGGGGAAAGCAGGGGACCUUCGGGCCUUGCGCGAUUGGAUGAGCCCAGGUGGGAUUAGCUAGUUGGUGAGGUAAUGGCUCACCAAGGCGACGAUCCCUAGCUGGUCUGAGAGGAUGAUCAGCCACACUGGAACUGGGACACGGUCCAGACUCCUACGGGAGGCAGCAGUGGGGAAUAUUGCACAAUGGGGGAAACCCUGAUGCAGCCAUGCCGCGUGUGUGAAGAAGGCCUUCGGGUUGUAAAGCACUUUCAGCGAGGAGGAAAGGUUGGUAGCUAAUAACUGCCAGCUGUGACGUUACUCGCAGAAGAAGCACCGGCUAACUCCGUGCCAGCCGCCGCGGUAAAAC
rnacentral:rRNA from 1 species